UCCUCACCGUGCCCUAUUCCUCUCUAAUCGUCGAAUCCUUCCUCACCUUAUCUCGUCGCCGCCCCGAUUCUUCCUCCUCUCUCACGCCGUGUUUACUCUCUGCUCUUCUUCUUCUCCUCAUCUUCUCCAACCGGUGCCCCUUUCUCUUCUUCCGCGUCAUCUUCCCUCCUCUGCCGUCGUCUCCUCGUCGCGGAGGUCCUCACCACGCCGAUUGUCACGAGAGCACCGCUGACAGCAGUCUUUCUCUCCGCGAGCCUCACCAACACCAAGCUCUCUGGGCUAUCAGGCGGCCCGAUCCUCUUCUACUUUUCCCCUUGCGUCUCUGCCCUAGAUGCAGCCGACGUCAUCGCAUCCGACCACAGUACCUGCAAUUUUGGGCGGCUAGCGUCGCCGCCAUCUCUUUCACCGGCUGCCACUUCUUCCUCUUCCAUCUGCCACCGUCGGAGAGCUGAGUACACAGGAGAGUAGGGUUGUUCUUCCGCGUAUCAGCAGUUGCGAGGGGUUACCACGCGUUGCCCCCUUCAAUUGUGCCGUGGCCAUCCGGUCAGCCACAAGGAGAUCCAUUGCUGCGGUGACCCCAUUUGUGCUUGGAUUUGUGCCACUGUCGUGUAUCUGUGAAUUCUGAGGCGGUGAGGGUUGUUGGACAGAUUUACCAUCGUCGAAAGAGCCACAAACUGCUGAUAAGGAUUUUCUCAACAAAAUUGG